ensembl:lncRNA LINC02532 long intergenic non-protein coding RNA 2532
GUAUAUGGAGUGAGGUAGAGGUCAAGUUUUGCUUUUUCCCGUUUGACUGUCUUAUUAACUUAACAUCAUUGAUGUAAAUGACCACUCUUUUCCUACUAUGCUUCAGUGCCACCUUUGUCAUAAUCAAGUGUUCCUUCAAGUAUGCAUCUGCUUCUGACUCUCUCCCUUCUGUUCCUUUGAGCUAUUUGUCCUGGGCCUUUACUGCACAUCUCAGAUUUGUCCCAACAAGGAUUGAAGAAGCUGGGUUAUUCAUCCACCAAUUCCUAUUACUCAUUGGUGAAAAGUUGCUCCUGGGGACAUGAACUCCCUUGCACUUCUGCCGUGCUCUGGGAACAAGCCAGAAAUAGUCCUAUGACCAGGGAAAGUCUCCAGGAUCUACUUCUCCACUUACACAAUUGUUGGCAGCAUCCAGUUCCUUGUAGUUAUGGGACUGAGAGCUUCAGAUUUUUGUUGAUUGUUGGCCAGAGACCACCCUCAGCUCGCAGAGGACACCCCCAGUUCUUUGCCAUUUAGGACUGCCCAACAUGGCUACUUGCUUCCGCGUAGUCAGCAAGAGAAAGACUAGCAUGGUGGGCACUACACUCCUAUGGAAUGUAAUCACGUAAUCAUGUAUACAUAAUCACAUGUAUCUUACCCACAUGUAUCCACAUGUACCCACAUCUUAUCACAUGUAUCUUAUUCCAUUUGUGUCACAGGUCCCACACUUACAGGGAAAGCAUCACCCGAAAGUGAGAAUGCCUAGAGGCAGGAAUCAUGGAGGCUUCCUUAACCGUCUGUCUGCAACAGCAGGUGCUAGAGAUGACACUGCAGAGUAGAGAACAAAGGAAUCUUAGUAAUUGUUCAAUCCAAUCUCCACACUUUAAAGAUGAAGAAACUGGUAUUGAGAAAAAUACACAGCUUAUCCAAGGUUGCACUGCUGGUUGGUAGCUGAGAUGAAUUUAGAACCCACAUCUGAUGACUACACCAUAUUGCUCCCAGUUUUCCUGUCUGUUCCACAUGUAAAAGUCUGACUCUUCACUUCUCCUUUGAGUAUAUAGACUUUUAACAUUUUUGUAUGUCAAGAUGGACUUUUCCUCAUACCCAGCCCCUGCCUUUUCUCCUCCCUUCAUACCUUGCAGGAUCUUUAACAGAAUUUAAAAGGAGUUUUUUGUUUUGUUUUGAUGUAUCUAAUAAAAGUCAAGGGAGGGAGAGGGCCAGUAUAAGCAAGAGUACAGUUUCCUAGUUUGUAGAUGCGGUAGUCUGAGGAAUCAGAAACACACAAAGGUUUGGAGAACUGGUACAUGCUCCCAGGUGGGAAGCCAGGACUCUUGGUAGGAUCUUGAGGACAAGGCAAAGGACAAUAAGAGAGCGAGGGGAUCCUAGAGGUGGAAUCAAGGAAGAGAAACUAGAGAGAGAAAAAGGAACUGGCUAUCCAUCCAUGAUGGAUCCUGUGUGGACUGAUGGGUGGCUUGGCAUCAUCCUUUAGUAGACUUCAUGUGGUUGAAUAAUUGGCCAAUGGAAGGAAUUUCUUUUUUGGUAACAGACUCUGUGUGUACAGUUAUGGGUCUUAAUUUAUAAUAAAAGGUUACAUUGAAAAUUGAGC